ensembl:ncRNA C54G7.7 ncRNA
AAAGAAUGUUGUGAAUAAGCAUGAGGAGCACAAUUGAAUCUGAUGCUCAGGGGAACAAUUAGCGGGAACUUGAAGUUUUAGGGAGCAUGCGCAAAGGGUCGAGCCUCCCGGGUUAGGACGAGUAGUGGGGACGCUGGGAAAAAAAAUUUGAAGCACCGCACAAAUACACAGAUGAAUGGCGGGUGCUCUCCAAAAAAGU